rnacentral:rRNA from 1 species
UAACCUGCCCAAGAGAUCGGGAUAACACCUGGAAACAGAUGCUAAUACCGGAUAACAACAGAUGAUGCCUAUCAACUGUUUAAAAGAUGGUUCUGCUAUCACUCUUGGAUGGACCUGCGGUGCAUUAGCUAGUUGGUAGGGUAACGGCCUACCAAGGCGAUGAUGCAUAGCCUAGUUGAGAGACUGAUCGGCCACAUUGGGACUGAGACACGGCCCAAACUCCUACGGGAGGCAGCAGGC